AAAGCUAAGGCUAAAAAAAAAUUAGAAAAAUUUGAUGAGAAGCGGGAGAGCUGGGUCCAUACCCACCAAAAAAAUCGGACCACCUCCCACAUAGUGGAUGAAGCUUCUAUGCUGCUUGAAAAAUUGCAGGCCCUGUGUGUAAGGGCUGUAAUAGUUUUGUCCAAGCCUGGAAGAAAAGAGAAUGCCUGGGUUUCGGAGGUUUUGGCACCCCGUUGCCAACUGACAGACACUUCUAAAAAGUGUCUUGAAAGAAUGAAGGCACUCUAUGAACUUGUUAUUCAAGGCUGGACCCCGCAAGUUGCUGCAGGACAUUCAUCAUCCCCAGUUGAACCCCCAACUACACCUCAACAGGCCCCACCAACAACACACGUUGCCGUUGCCCGGCCUCAUCCCCCUGCAGCUUCACCUACACCUCAACAGGCCCCACCAACAACACACGUUGCCGUUGCCCGGCCUCAUCCCCCUGCAGCUUCACCUACACCUCAACAGGCCCCACCAACAACACACGUUGCCGUUGCCCGGCCUCAUCCCCCUGCAGCUUCACCUACACCUCAACAGGCCCCACCAACAACACACGUUGCCGUUGCCCGGCCUCAUCACCCUGCAGCUUCACCUACACCUCAACAAGCCCCACCAACAACACACGUUGCCGUUGCCCGGCCUCAUCACCCUGCAGCUUCACCUAUACCCCCAAAGUCCUUGAUUUUACCAGUAGCCUCCACUGGAGCCUCCCAAGUUUGUCAAGGAAAAGGUGACAGUGUUGAAGGAGGCUGUCCAGCUCCCAGUAGAGUGGUGCCACGUAAAAGAAAAGGUCUGUUCAUUUACUGUGUGUGUAAAUCUAUACAUUUUGAAUUGAAAUUCAUUGUUGGAGUCCUCAUUAUUGCUGUAUUUCCAUUUGUAAGUGGUUGUGGCCUAUUAUGUUUUGGCGAUAUGUCCACAUUUAUUUAUUUAUUUUGUCAAGCUUGACAUUUAAAAUAAUCAAGCUAAAUUUAAUCUGUGGUCCCUUUCCCCAUUAACCACUGCCACUCCAUCAAUAAGAAAUGUCUUUUCCCCAAAAGCCGGGUAGUCAUCUGCCAUGAAAAUGUGUUCCACAACUCCCUGACACCAUAAUGACUUUUACUGAUUAGGAUUCAU